UACAGAGGGUGCAAGCGUUGUUCGGAAUUACUGGGCGUAAAGCGCGUGUAGGCUGCGGUGUAAGUCGGAUGUGAAAGCCCUUGGCUUAACCAAGGAAGUGCAUCCGAUACUGCGUCGCUUGAGUGUCGGAGGGGAUGGCGGAAUUCCCGGUGUAGAGGUGAAAUUCGUAGAUAUCGGGAGGAACACCUGUGGCGAAGGCGGCCAUCUGGACGAUAACUGACGCUGAGACGCGAAAGCGUGGGUAGCAAACAGG
rnacentral:rRNA from 1 species